UACAGAGGGUGCGAGCGUUAAUCGGAAUUACUGGGCGUAAAGCGUGCGUAGACGGUUAUUUAAGUCGGGUGUGAAAGCCCCGGGCUCAACCUGGGAAUUGCAUUCGAGACUGAAUAGCUAGGGUACGGUAGAGGGAAGUGGAAUUUCCGGUGUAGCGGUGAAAUGCGUAGAUAUCGGAAGGAACAUCAGUGGCGAAAGCGACUUCCUGGACCAGUACCGACGUCAGGCACGAAAGCGUGGGAGCAAA
rnacentral:rRNA from 1 species